rnacentral:rRNA from 1 species
GGCCGCGGGAAUUCGAUUAGAGUUUGAUCCUGGCUCAGAUUGAACGCUGGCGGCAUGCUUUACACAUGCAAGUCGAGCGGCAGCGCGGGGGCAACCCUGGCGGCGAGCGGCGAACGGGUGAGUAAUGCAUCGGAACGUGUCCCGUAGUGGGGGAUAACCCGGCGAAAGCCGGGCUAAUACCGCAUAUUUCUCUACGGAGGAAAGCGGGGGAUCCGCAAGGACCUCGCGCUAUGGGAGCGGCCGAUGCCCGAUUAGCUUGUUGGUGAGGUAAAGGCUUACCAAGACGACGAUCGGUAGCUGGUCUGAGAGGAUGAUCAGCCACACUGGGACUGAGACACGGCCCAGACUCCUACGGGAGGCAGCAGUGGGGAAUUUUGGACAAUGGGGGCAACCCUGAUCCAGCCAUGCCGCGUGAGGGAUGACGGCCUUCGGGUUGUAAACCUCUUUCACCAUUGACGAAGCUGCAUCUUUUUGGGUGUGGUGACGGUAGGUGGGGAAGAAGCACCGGCUAACUACGUGCCAGCAGCCGCGGUAUACGAAUCACUAGUGAAUUCGCGGCCGCCUGCAG